GAUGAACGCUGGCGGCGUGCCUAAUACAUGCAAGUCGAGCGAACAGACGAGGAGCUUGCUCCUCUGACGUUAGCGGCGGACGGGUGAGUAACACGUGGAUAACCUACCUAUAAGACUGGGAUAACUUCGGGAAACCGGAGCUAAUACCGGAUAAUAUAUUGAACCGCAUGGUUCAAUAGUGAAAGACGGUUUUGCUGUCACUUAUAGAUGGAUCCGCGCCGCAUUAGCUAGUUGGUAAGGUAACGGCUUACCAAGGCAACGAUGCGUAGCCGACCUGAGAGGGUGAUCGGCCACACUGGAACGGAGACACGGUCCAGACUCCUACGGGAGGCAGCAGUAGGGAAUCUUCCGCAAUGGGCGAAAGCCUGACGGAGCGACGCCGCGUGAGUGAUGAAGGUCUUCGGAUCGUAAAACUCUGUUAUUAGGGAAGAACAAAUGUGUAAGUAACUAUGCACGUCUUGACGGUACCUAAUCAGAAAGCCACGGCUAACUACGUG
rnacentral:rRNA from 1 species